rnacentral:tRNA from 1 species
UCUCUUAUAGCUCAAUGGUAGAGCGAUGGAAUGGAAUACUUUAUACCUUGGGUUCGAACCUCAGUUAGGUGAA